GUGUGCUUAGGCCCAGAAUAAAAUGUCUUUGGAAACUUACUCAGUUAUGAUUUUAGACAUGGCAAAACAAGGCCUAUCAUCCACAGAAAUCUCAGCGCAGAUAUCACAAGUAAAUGGGGGAGCGAGAGGAUGUUCCGCAAGAAACGUGAGGAGAUUUUGCAGUGAAAAUGGAUUAAGUUUGAUGGGGCUCCCUGACGCACAUUUGGAGUUGGAGGUGGCAAAAGCUAUAACCGAGACUGGACCUACAUAUGGAAGAAAGAUGAUGAAGGGUUAUCUCGCUAUGAAAGGAGUGUAUGCUGCAGAGACACGAAUUGGAUCAGUGCUCAGAACCAUGCAUCAGCCAUACCAUGAAGCAAGACGUCAGGGUGCCCGCAAUCUCAACCCCAUACCAUAUCAAGCUGAUUACAUGGGUCAAAAGGUUCAUAUGGACCAAAACGAAAAACUGGCUAUGUUUGGGGUUACCCAUGUUUUAGCCAUCGAUGGCUACAGCAA